rnacentral:rRNA from 1 species
AACCGUUCGGGGGUAAACGGACAGAGCCCGUGAAUCCGGGCGCGCGGAAUUCAGGACCGAUGGGGGACUUCGUCGAUUCGAUAUUUCCGCCGCCGACCAGUAACUGGUGCGGACGUCGCGACCCGUUCGCCGUCGGUCUGACGAAACGCGUUUCAAGUUCGNUCGUACGUUCGCGGUGUCGGACGGCGAUGGCGCGUCUUUCGGGCUACGUCGUGGACGGUAGCACAAGCGCGGGUAAUCGACGCGACCUCGGCCGGACGUCAAAACUUCGGUCGUGUCGUGCGUCGACGCCGGUCAGCGACGAAUCUUCGGGCCUCUUUCCGACCCGUCUUGAAACACGGACCAAGGAGUCUAACGUGCGCGCGAGUCGCGGGGUAUUCGAGCCGUAACGCAGCUCGUCACAAUACGAAACCCGUACACGUACGUUGUGCUAAGGCGUAAUGAAAGUGAGGUGGCCGUCUUCGCGCGUCCACGGGGAAGAUGGUGUUUCGUACACGUAUUUCUCGGACGCACGGUUCCGAGACCGGACAUCCGCAUUCCCAGGGCGUCCCGUUCGUCCGUCGCGGGCGCGGACGUACGUCGGCUCGCGACGAACUGGGGCGCACCUUUAGCGUGCACGUUGGUACCCGAAAGAUGGUGAACUAUGCCCGGCCAGGAUGAAGUCAGGGGAAACCCUGAUGGAGGUCCGCAGCGAUUCUGACGUGCAAAUCGAUCGUCUGAGCUGGGUAUAGGGGCGAAAGACUAAUCGAACCAUCUA